rnacentral:rRNA from 1 species
AGUGAACGCUGGCGGCAGGCCUAACACAUGCAAGUCGAACGGAUGAAGGGAGCUUGCUCCUGGAUUCAGCGGCGGACGGGUGAGUAAUGCCUAGGAAUCUGCCUGGUAGUGGGGUAUAACGUCCGGAAACGGGCGCUAAUACCCCAUACGUCCUGAGGGAGAAAGUGGGGGAGCUUCGGACCUCACGCUAUCAGAUGAGCCUAGGUCGGAUUAGCUAGUUGGUGGGGUAAAGGCCUACCAAGGCGACGAUCCGUAACUGGUCUGAGAGGAUGAUCAGUCACACUGGAACUGAGACACGGUCCAGACUCCUACGGGAGGCAGCAGUGGGGAAUAUUGGACAAUGGGCGAAAGCCUGAUCCAGCCAUGCCGCGUGUGUGAAGAAGGUCUUCGGAUUGUAAAGCCCUUUAAGUUGGGAGGAAGAGCAGUAAGUUAAUACCUUGCUGUUUUGACGGUACCAACAGAAUAAGCACCGGCUAACUUCGUG